UACAGAGGUCCCAAGCGUUGUUCGGAUUCACUGGGCGUAAAGGGUGCGUAGGCGGUCGGGUAAGUCUGAUGUGAAAUCUCACAGCUUAACUGUGAAACUGCAUUGGAUACUAUUCGGCUUGAGAGUUGGAGGGGGGACUGGAAUUCUUGGUGUAGCGGUGGAAUGCGUAGAGAUCCGGAAGAACACCGGUGGCGAAGGCGGCCUGCCUGGGCAGUUGCUGACACUGAGGCGCGACAGCGUGGGGAGCAAACAGG
rnacentral:rRNA from 1 species